rnacentral:rRNA from 1 species
GAUGAACGCUGGCGGCGUGCCUAAUACAUGCAAGUCGAGCGAACGGACGAGAAGCUUGCUUCUCUGAUGUUAGCGGCGGACGGGUGAGUAACACGUGGAUAACCUACCUAUAAGACUGGGAUAACUUCGGGAAACCGUAGCUAAUACCGGAUAAUAUUUUGAACCGCAUGGUUCAAAAGUGAAAGACGGUCUUGCUGUCACUUAUAGAUGGAUCCGCGCUGCAUUAGCUAGUUGGUAAGGUAACGGCUUACCAAGGCAACGAUGCAUAGCCGACCUGAGAGGGUGAUCGGCCACACUGGAACUGAGACACGGUCCAGACUCCUACGGGAGGCAGCAGUAGGGAAUCUUCCGCAAUGGGCGAAAGCCUGACGGAGCAACGCGCGUGAGUGAUGAAGGUCUUCGGAUCGUAAAACUCUGUUAUUAGGGAAGAACAUAUGUGUAAGUAACUGUGCACAUCUUGACGGUACCUAAUCAGAGAGCCACGGCUAACUACGUG